ACUGAGGCCUAUCCCGAUGGGGCUUUGCAGUAGGUUCUCAUCGUUGGAAAUGCCUCAAAGAGCAAACUUUGUGGUUUCGCUUUACCCACUGAACUAUGUUGUUAGAUCUGUGGGAUAAAACUACAAGACAGUA